AUUGAACGCUGGCGGCGUGCCUAACACAUGCAAGUCGAGCGAUGAAACCCCUCGGGGGGGAUUAGCGGCGGACGGGUGAGUAACACGUGGGUAACCUGCCUCAAAGAGGGGGAUAGCAUCCCGAAAGGGAGAUUAAUACCGCAUAACAUUAGUUUUUCGCAUGAAGAACGAAUUAAAGGAGCAAUCCGCUUUGAGAUGGCCCCGCGGCGCAUUAGCUAGUUGGUGAGGGAAAGGCCCACCAAGGGGAGGAUGCGUAGCCGGCCUGAGAGGGUGAUCGGCCACAUUGGAACUGAGACACGGUCCAGACUCCUACGGGAGGCAGCAGUGGGGAAUAUUGCACAAUGGGCGAAAGCCUGAUGCAGCAACGCCGCGUGAGUGAUGAAGGCCUUCGGGUUGUAAAGCUCUGUCUUUUGGGACGAUAAUGACGGUACCAAAGGAGGAAGCCACGGCUAACUACGUGCCAGCCGCCGCAGUAA
rnacentral:rRNA from 1 species